rnacentral:rRNA from 1 species
GAUUUGUGGCCGUCGCGUGCGGCCCGGCAUUUUGCCGGUGCCUGCUAGCGUCGCCAUCCUUGGGUGGAACCUGUGUGGCAUUAGGUUGUCGUGCAGGGGAUGCCCAUCGUUUACUGUGAAAAAAUUAGAGUGUUCAAAGCAGGCUUAUGCCGUUGAAUAUAUUAGCAUGGAAUAAUAAGAUAGGACCUUGGUACUAUUUUGUUGGUUUGCGCACCAAGGUAAUGAUUAAUAGGGACAGUUGGGGGUAUUCGUAUUCCAUUGUCAGAGGUGAAAUUCUUGGAUUUCUGGAAGACGAACUACUGCGAAAGCAUU